GGCUUCGUGGUGUAGUGGUCAGCACGCUCGACGCGUAACCGAGAGGUCCGUGGUUCGAUUCCCGGCGAAGGCG
rnacentral:tRNA from 1 species